CCAAGGCUUGCGAGCGGAGGAAGAAACAACUGCAAACGUGGAGCUGAGGCCGGGACAGAACGGCAGACAUGAAAGCAGCGGGCGGCUUAUUGUGUGGCCGCGCACCUUCUUCCCUGAUGAUGUCCCAUAUCUGUGGCCGCCUUGAGGUAACAGGAAAGAGCAGGAGAUGAGGAGGAGAGGGAAGCAGUGGAGCCGCUCAGGUCCGAAGUCACCGGGAGAGAGGAUCGUUUGCACCUCCUCGCAUCAACAGGUUGGGGGGCAGAUGAGUGUCACUCAGCAGAGCCCGGCCGUUCACUGUUGCAGCCAUCUGCAGGUGAACUCUGCUACUUGGGUUUUAAGUCUGUGGCAGAGAGGAUUCAUACUGCUGCCAUCCUUCCACCUGCCAUGCUCAGCUCCUGUCUUGUCAUCUUGGAUUUUGUUUGCCUGCGGAUUCCUGUGGAUUCCUGUCUAUAAAUACAUCUCUGCCAUUAUCGUGCCGGACUGUCUACAGCCCCAUGCCCUCAGCAUCAUAACC